AUGGAGGCCAAGAGGCGGCGGCGCGGCGUGCUGGACCUGGAGGCGCAGUUCGCCUUCUUCCGGUCGCAGCACCGCCACCCGGUGAACGCCGCCGCGCACGCGCUGCUCGCCGGGCCCAUCCUCUUCACCAACCUCCUUAUCCUCCACUUCCUGCCGCUGCCAGUGCCACUCGACCCGGCGCUCGCCCUCGCCCUCGCCUACGCCGCCUCCUACCUCGCCGUCGACCGUCGCGCCGGGGCCCUCGCGGCGCUCCUCUUCCUCGGCGCCUGGACCGCCAGCCGCGCCCUCGCCGCCCGCCUCGGCUUCGCGCUCUCCUGGAAGCUCGUGCUGGCCACGCAGCUCUUCUGCUGGACCUGGCAGCUCCUCGGCCAUGGACUCUUCGAGAAGAGAGGGCCGACAGUGAGAGAACUUCCCGAGGUGUUCCUCGUGGAGCCAUUCCUCAUCCUACUUCAGAUACUCAACAAACUGUUUGGCUAUGAGCCGUACCCUGGAUUCGGCAAGAACGUGGAUAAGAAGAUGGAGGAGCUCAAGCAGAGGAAGAUCAACUGA
rnacentral:rRNA from 1 species